rnacentral:rRNA from 1 species
GAUGAACGCUAGCGGCAGGCCUAAUACAUGCAAGUCGAACGGUCCACUUCGGUGGAUAGUGGCGCACGGGUGCGUAACACGUAUGCAACCUACCUUACAUUGGGGGAGAGCCUUUCGAAAGGGAGAUUAAUACCGCAUAAGACAGUAACAUGGCAUCAUGUAGCUGUUAAAGAUUUAUCGAUGUAAGCUGGGCAUGCGUCAAAUUAGUUAGUUGGUGAGGUAAUGGCUCACCAAGACGAUGAUUGGUAGGGGAACUGAGAGGUCAAUCCCCCACACUGGCACUGAGAUACGGGCCAGACUCCUACGGGAGGCAGCAGCAGGGAAUAUUGGGCAAUGGACGCAAGUCUGACCCAGCCAUGCCGCGUGCAGGAAGAAGGCGUUCUGCGUUGUAAACUGCUUUUAUAUAGGAAGAAACGACCCUUGCGAGGGGCAUUGACGGUAUUAUAUGAAUAAGCACCGGCUAACUCCGUGCCAGCAGCCGCCGUAAUAC